rnacentral:rRNA from 1 species
GUUGGCGGCCAUAGCGGUGAGGAAACACCCGGUCCCGUCAGAUCCCGGAAGUUAAGCUCACCAGCGAUUCGGGUUGUACUGCCUUGCGAGAGCAGGUGGGAACCCCGAGACGCUGCCAACC